AGCGAACGCUGGCGGCAGGCCUAACACAUGCAAGUCGAACGAACUCUUCGGAGUUAGUGGCGGAUGGGUGAGUAACACGUGGGAACGUGCCAAUUGGUUCGGAAUAACUCAGGGGAACUUGUGCUAAUACCGAAUGUGUCCUUCGGGGGAAAGAUUGAUCGAGAUUAGAGCUGCCCGAGUCUGUUUAGCUAGUUGGUGAGGUAACGUCUCACCAAGGCGACGAGCAGUAGCUGGGCUGAGAGGAUGACCAGCCACACUGGCACUGAGCCGCGGCGCAGACUCCUGCGCGAUGCGGCAAUGGGUAAUGCUGCCAAAUGGCGUGAAUGCAGACGGAGCCAUGCCUGGUGAAUGAUGAAGGUCUUAGGAUUGUAAAAUUCUUUCAUCGGUGAGGAUAUUGACGUUACCCGGAGAAGAAGCCCCGGCUAACUUCGUG
rnacentral:rRNA from 1 species